rnacentral:rRNA from 1 species
UACGUAGGGGGCAAGCGUUGUCCGGAAUCAUUGGGCGUAAAGCGCGUGUAGGCGGCCAUCCAAGUCCGAUGUGAAAGCUCGGGGCUCAACCCCGAGUCUGCAUUGGAAACUGUAUGGCUUGAGUCCGGAAGAGGAGACUGGAAUUCCUGGUGUAGCGGUGAAAUGCGCAGAUAUCAGGAAGAACACCGGUGGCGAAGGCGGGUCUCUGGGACGGUACUGACGCUGAGACGCGAAAGCGUGGGGAGCAAACAGGAUUAGAUACCCUGGUAGUCCACGCCGUAAACGAUGGGCACUAGGUGUGGGAGGUGUCGACUCCUUCCGUGCCGUAGCUAACGCAUUAAGUGCCCCGCCUGGGGAGUACGGCCGCAAGGCUAAA